GCAACAGUUUGUAGUAAAAUUUCAAAGCAGAAGGUAGAAAAGAAUGCAUGAGUUAAGGUGAAUUGAGUUUGAGUUUAGGGUUGGGUAAAUACUGGAACCCAUCCAAGCGGAUGUGGAGGACAAUGGUGUUGGAGCGACAUCUCACUGCACCAUCACUCUCUUCCCUUCAAACCCCCAGGCCUCUCUCUCUCUCUCUCUCUCUCUCUCUCUCUCUCUACUAGUCACCAAGCAAUGCACGCUACAUUAACCACAAUCAAAUCCUCCAACUGAUUUCCCCACACUCCGAUGGCCGCCGCGACCAUCAACGAUAUUUUUAGCGCAAUAUUUACAACGGGACUCGUUGAUGGUCUGAGUUUCUUUAAUGUAAUUCUGACUGCUUAUGUGUAUUAUAGUGCUCUCGAUCGAGUUCCACCCUGAUGUCAACAAGCAACCUGGAGCAACUGAAAAGUUUGAAGUGCUGCAUAUGAGUACCACACUGUCAGAUCCUAUCGGAUGAUAAGAAGCGGGCUUUAUAUGAUCAAUAUGGUGAAGCUGAAGUUAAAAGCACGAUGAGUGGGGGAUCUUCAACCUAUACGGCCAAACCUCAAGCCGGCGUGCCGUCGUACAUGUUGGCACGUUGCUCGUUACUUCGAUUCGUCCCUACCCCUUCCAUCCUUUCGUUUUUUCUUCCUUCAGCCUGGCGAGGCUAAUCUCCCACACUUGGUGUUUUUUCGGAGGCCAGUCUCUCACACACUAUGUUUUGCUCGACCUCAUCGGCACUUGACAAUCAUUUCGGACUCUACUUGGCCUUGCCGGCAAUGCCAUGGCUGACAGAGGCUUCCUAGCGAAGGCUAAUGCAAUGAUGGGAACUUGUAGAGAAUGAUUUUUGGAA